rnacentral:rRNA from 1 species
ACUUAAAGGAAUUGGCGGGGGAGCACUACAACGGGUGGAGCCUGCGGUUUAAUUGGAUUCAACGCCGGAAACCUCACCGGGACCGACAGCGAUAUGAAGGCCAGGCUGAAGACCUUGCCGGAUUAGCUGAGAGGUGGUGCAUGGCCGUCGUCAGUUCGUACUGUGAAGCAUCCUGUUAAGUCAGGCAACGAGCGAGACCCACGCCCACAGUUGCCAGCGUACUCUCUGGAGUGACGGGUACACUGUGGGGACCGCCGCUGCUAAAGCGGAGGAAGGAAUGGGCAACGGUAGGUCAGUAUGCCCCGAAUAUCCCGGGCUACACGCGGGCUACAAUGGUUGGUACAAUGGGUAUCUACCCCGAAAGGGGAUGGAGAUCUCCUAAAGCCAAUCGUAGUUCGG